UCCAUUCCUCCCAGAGUUCAAAGAAGAAUAAUGCUCUUCAUCAUCCAUCCAUUCCCACAGUUUGGGGGGUUUCUCCACCACCUCCCAAGGCCUCUCCAGGUUAGACACAGCAGCCUUAAGCUCAGCUCUCUUCCUCAUUUCAUAUAUCUGUCGCUCAUAAAAUUUCAUAAAAUCCAAAAGGAUUCAUGAUUUUAGGGUUCAGAAUGAUUUUAGGGUUCAUGAGUGAAUCCUUUUGAUUUUGAUUUGUUUAGGAUUUUUGAUUUUAGGUGUUUUUCUUUUAAUUUAAUUUUAACAAAUAAAUUUUAUUUGUAAUAAUGAUUUUUAAUUGAAUUCUUGUUAAUGUAUACUCAAACUCUAGAUACACUUCUCUUUAAAAUAUAAAGGUCUAUUUGAUACAGUUUUUAAAAACUAUAUUUUAAUUUUUAAAAAUUUAAAAAUAAAAAAUUUGUUUGUUAGAGAUUUUUAUAUCCAACAGUUUUGUGAAAAUGUUUUAAUUUUCUGUUUUAAGAAGAAAAAAACAAAAACAUCUUUUAAAUAUUUUCCUUUUCUAUUUUUUAGCUUUAAAAACACACGGAAAAUAGAUAGUUUUCAUUAAUGGCAUUUGUGUAAAUACGUUGAACUUCUUCUUCUAUAUUUUUAUUAUUUUAUUUUAUUAGUUUUUUUUUUACACACUCUUCUAAAUUUUGUUUUCUAUAUUUACAUUGGUUUGGGUGAAUUUUUUAUUUUUUAUUUUGUCUAUUAAAAAAUAAUUUUUUGUUCUCAAGUCAUAUCUCAAGUUGAAUGUUAAAUAUUGAAACCGAAACAAUGUGAGUUAUUUAUAGUAGUAUUUAGCUAUGUGAGUUAUUUAAUAUUAUAUCCAAAAUAUUUUACUUGUAUGUAAAUGUUAUUAGUUGAAUUUUUCUAUUUUUUACUUUUAUUAUUUAAUAUAAGAAAAACAGAUUUUAAAAAUUAUAAUACCAAAUAGUUUUUUUUUUUAAUUCUCUAUUCAAAAUCUAUUUUAAAAAAUUAGAUUAUAAAAUAUGUUUUCUCUUUUUCUCAUCUCUAAAAUUGUUUUUAGAAACAAGUAUCUCAAACAAAUUUUUUCUUUCAUUCUAUUCUUUAAAACAAUUUUAAAAAUUUAGAUUUAUACAAUAAUUUUUAAAAAUUAAAAUGCAAAAGUGUUUCAAACAUGCCCUUAAUGUUAGAGUUUUAUGUUUUAUGAUUUUAAAGACUCAAUUUUUAGAUUUGAAUAAUAUCUCUUAAAAUAUUAAGACAAAUAUAUAUAUAUAUAUAUAUAUAUAUAUAUAUAUAUAUAUAUAUANNNNNNNNNNAACUUCGCAUCAGUGCUAUUUUUCAGGAAAAAAAUAUUGAUUGGGAUAGACAAAAGUUACAAGUCCUGUUGCUAGUUAUAGAUGUUCCCCAUAGGCGAUUUGUAACAAAAGAGGUAUGACAUCACCAAAUGCUUUAAAUUCAAUUGUUGUGAUGAGAUUUAUAGGUAACAUGAAGAAACGCCUUUCUUAAACAUUAUUGUGCUCUCUACUUUUGGGUGUAAAAAAGACAUAUUUUAAUCUU
rnacentral:lncRNA from 1 species